rnacentral:rRNA from 1 species
CACGUAGGGGACGAGCGUUGUCCGGAUUCAUUGGGCGUAAAGGGUGCGUAGGUGGGGAUGUAAGUUAGAUGUGAAAUACCGUUGCUCAACAACGGCCGUGCAUCUAAAACUGCGCUUCUAGAGGGAUAGCGGAGAAAACGGAAUUCCAUGUGUAGCGGUGAAAUGCGUAGAUAUAUGGAAGAACACCUGUGGCGAAAGCGGUUUUCUAGCUCAACCCUGACACUGAGGCACGAAAGCAAGGGGAGCAAACAGG